rnacentral:ncRNA from 1 species
GAUUGCAAUACUUUUUAUUAUCAACCUCUCUGCAAUCGCGGCUG